rnacentral:rRNA from 1 species
GAUGAACGCUGGCGGCGUGCCUAAUACAUGCAAGUCGAGCGAACAGACGAGGAGCUUGCUCCUUCGACGUUAGCGGCGGACGGGUGAGUAACACGUAGGUAACCUACCUAUAAGACUGGGAUAACUUCGGGAAACCGGAGCUAAUACCGGAUAAUAUUUCGAACCGCAUGGUUCGAUAGUGAAAGAUGGCUUUGCUAUCACUUAUAGAUGGGCCUGCGCCGUAUUAGCUAGUUGGUAAGGUAACGGCUUACCAAGGCAACGAUACGUAGCCGACCUGAGAGGGUGAUCGGCCACACUGGAACUGAGACACGGUCCAGACUCCUACGGGAGGCAGCAGUAGGGAAUCUUCCGCAAUGGGCGAAAGCCUGACGGAGCAACGCCGCGUGAGUGAUGAAGGUCUUCGGAUCGUAAAACUCUGCUAUUAGGGAAGAACAAACGUGUAAGUAACUGUGCACGUCUUGACGGUACCUAAUCAGAAAGCCACGGCUAACUACGUG